GAGUUUGAUCUUGGCUCAGGACGAACGCUGGCGGCGCGCCUAACACAUGCAAGUCGAACGGAAUAUUUUUCUACUUCAAGUUUUUUGCUUGUUUGAGGAAAGCGUCAAUCAGUGCGCAGCACUGAUUUAGGCCUUUUAGUAAGCUAACACAUGCAGAAAAGAACGAGCGGAAGAUUUGAAGUAGAAAAAUAUUUAGUGGCGAACGGGUGAGUAACGCGUGAGGAACCUGCCUCAAAGAGGGGGACAACAGUUGGAAACGACUGCUAAUACCGCAUAAGCCCACGGGGCCGCAUGGCCCUGAGGGAAAAGGAGCAAUUCGCUUUGAGAUGGCCUCGCGUCCGAUUAGCUGGUCGGUGA
rnacentral:rRNA from 1 species